AAGCGAGGAAGCCAGAGCCUGGGAUCUUUGUGAUGGCUGAAAGAGACCCCAUGGAGGGUGAGGGGCCCUUAACCCACAGUGCUGUUGCAGUGCGAGGUGAUGGGGAAGAUUUGAAUCCUGAAUUUUCAGUCAUAAGGACGCGCGUGGCAAUCCGUUUCAAACUUCUGAAAGGACUGAUGAGAUG